CCUACGGGUGGCAGCAGUAGGGAAUCUUUCACAAUGGGCGAAAGCCUGAUGGAGCAACGCCGCGUGCAGGAUGAAGGCCUUCGGGUUGUAAACUGCUUUUAUAAGCGAGAAAUAUGAUGGUAACUUAUGAAUAAGGAUCGGCUAACUACGUGCCAGCAGCCGCGGUCAUACGUAGGAUCCGAGCAUUAUCCGGAGUGACUGGGUGUAAAGAGUUGCGUAGGUGGCAUAAUAAGUAGCUAGUGAAAUCGGGUGGCUCAACCAUUCAGACUAUUAGCUAAACUGUUAAGCUCGAGACCGUUAGGGGUAACUGGAAUUUCUAGUGUAGGAGUGAAAUCCGUAGAUAUUAGAAAGAACACCGAUAGCGUAGGCAGGUUACUGGGACGGUUCUGACACUAAGGCACGAAAGCGUAGGGAGCAAACGGGAUUAGAUACCCUAGUAGUC
rnacentral:rRNA from 1 species